GUUGCUUCCUUCCUACUCCCUCCCACACACCCAGGAGCUCCAGCCUGUUAUGGGAUGGGCAUCCUACCAGGAACCAAGGAUGCUAAGAUGUCCUCCAAAAUGGAUUGCCUCAUAUCUAGUACCCGCCUGCUGCAGGCUUCUUCAUCUAGUUCCUCUGGGGACACACUGUGCAGCUAAUUCAUCCAGGCAGAUUCACUGGGAAGCUGUUGCUCAUGAGGGUGUAAUGAAGAAUCUCCAGGUGGAGAAAUGAUCCUGAAUUAUCCAGUGGGCCCUACAUGUCACCACAUUGCGAUCCUUCUAAGUAGGAAGCAGAAGAUCUGACACAUGCAGGAGAGGGGAAGGCAAUGUGACCAUGGAGGCAGAGAGGGGAGUGAUGUGGCCACAAACCAAGGAUUGUUGGCAGCUGCCAGUGGCCGAAGGGGCAAUGAAUGGAUUCUCCUUUGGAGCCUCUGGAGGGAGAAUGGCCCUGCUAACACCUUGAUUUUGGCCCAGUGAUACUGAUUUUGGACUUCUGCCCUCUAGAACUGUGAGGGAAUACUUUUCUGUUGCUUUAAGCCAUUGAAUUUAUGAUGAUUUGUUACAGCACCCACAGGAAACAAAUGCAUGGAUCUAACUUGAACCUAGUGAGUUAGAUUACUUCAGGGAAACACAAUAAAUAGUUAACAGGGCUUGUCAGGGGGGUGGGAGUGAGAUGAAAGUGUGAAGGCAACUUCUAUGGUUUACUUUUAUAUUUCCCUAUUUUUCAAAUCUUUUGCAAGAAAAUGAAUUCAUAUACUAUUUUAAAAAACAUAUAAAAUAUGAGCAAAAAGAUUUAUUGUAUCUCUUUAAAAUAAUUUAGAACAAGUAAUGGCUGCAGAACCUUAAAGGGUUUUUCUAGCAUGUUUCCAAGAUACAGUCUUGAUUAUUUGAGAUUGACAUGAAGAUGGCCCAGACUGUGCCACAACACAGCACUUGACACCAAAUGUUAGACUGUAAUGGGCCGUGUGAGUAUUACUCAGUGUGGCCAUUUCAUUAUCAAAUAUCUAUUUAUUUCAGAUUUCAAACACGAAUACAAGCUUCUCCUUUCUUUCCUUCCUUUCUCUUUUUCUCCUUUCUACAGCAAGUUCAGGAAUGUGCUAGGUAUGACCUGGGAUAGAAAGAGCAUAUACUCAGCUUUUGCCUUCAAGAAAAUUGGAUAUUGGCUUGGGAGAUAAGAUAAAUGAAAAGGAAGCAGAUGAUCUGUUAUAGAAGAGAUAACACUGUAAGCCCAAAUGUAUGUGAUUAAGUUCUAAAAGUGUAAACCAAUAGGGAGUGCUGUGAGGUGUCACCACGGGCGCAGAUUGCAGCAGAUCUGACCAUACAAGUGUAAAUAAAACCCUAUUGAAUGCCCCCUCUCCCUCCCCAAUUGUUCUGAGUGGUUGCUUCAAGAUUUCUUCUCAUCGUUCUCAAAUUGUUACUGUGAGAUUAACUGGCAAACAUUUCUCCUUAACAUAAGAAGUGUGAAUGGAAUCCUACCAAGUGAUUUUGCCAAUAGUUCCUAUUCCUGCUGCAAACAGUGGUGUGCUCAGGCUUAAGCUGUAACAUGUCCACACUCACCUGUCACUUGGGAAUGCCUCUGUUGGAAUGCAACAUGCCCACUUAUCACACAGCCGGCAUGAGAGGCAGAGUGGAGUUUAACCAAGCAUUCUGCCCCCAAAGUCUGCAGAUGUAGCCAGUGCCUUCAGAAAAGGGAAGGGAAACUAACCCUGUUGAGUAUCUACUAUGUGCUAGGCAUUCUGUUAAGCACUUUUACACACAUCAUUUAAUCCUCGUGACAGUAUUUAGAAAUAGCUAUCAUUUCCCAGUUCUGUAGAUGAGGAAGAAAAGGUAGGCUCAGAGAGGGUAGGUAAGUUGUCUAAGGUCACAUAGCUGGUACAUAGUAGUAGAGCUAGGGUGCAAACCCAAGAUUUUCUGAGUCCAAAGCACAUGCCUAUUCCAUCAUUUCGGUAAUAAGAAUAAAUGUCUUUCAAAUGUAGUGGUGAGAGAUGAAUAAAAAGCCGUCCUUGGUGAUCCUGGGGAGUCUACACCCUCUGCCUGCCUGGCUCCACAUCAAGCUUGUGUUUGCCAGCACUUACACCCCUGCAUUUCCCUCCAAUCCCUGUCAUCUCCCUUGUGGAGUCCUCUCCUCCUCUCCUACCCGUUGGUCCCCUUUUUCACCCAUCCUUCAGCCAUUUAAUGAUCUCAUCUUUAAUUCCUGUUUAUAACUCCAUGAGCUCCUCGAUCACUGUCUCCUGAGAUGUCCUUUUUGUCACUGGAACUUGUAUUAAAGUGGUUUUGUAAUGGGUA
rnacentral:lncRNA from 1 species